CUCCUGUGGAUUAAAGUUGGGGUUUUCAGAAAUUGAGGGAUAUUCAACCGAUACUUGCCUUCUCAGUGCUGGCUGUGGUGGUUAAGGAUUUGGAUUUCCCUUAUGAUGGUUCUCAAUUGGUGGAUAU